rnacentral:rRNA from 1 species
UACGGGGGGAGCAAGCGUUGUCCGGAUUUAUUGGGCGUAAAGAGCGUGUAGGCGGCCAUUCAGGUCAGCUGUGAAAACUCGAGGCUCAACCUCGAGACGUCGGUUGAAACCGUUUGGCUAGAGUCCGGAAGAGGAGAGUGGAAUUCCCGGUGUAGCGGUGAAAUGCGCAGAUAUCGGGAAGAACACCCGUGGCGAAGGCGGCUCUCUGGGACGGUACUGACGCUGAGACGCGAAAGCGUGGGGAGCGAACGAGG